GGCCUUUUGUUUAUGAUUUAAGGUCUAACCUGCCCAAUGAUGUAAUAAUUUAAUGGCCGCAGUAUUUUGACUGUGCAAAGGUAGCAUAAUCAUUAGUUUUUUAAUUGAAAGCUUGUAUGAAAGGUUUGAUGAGAAAAGAACUGUCUCUGUUUAAAAUUUUAGAAAUUUAUUUUUAAGUUAAAAAGCUUAAAUUUUCAUUGAAGACGAGAAGACCCUAUAGAGUUUUAUUUAUAUAAAAAUAAUAAGAGUUUAGUAUUUAAAAUUUUAUUUUUAUAUAAAUUUAGUUGGGGUGAUUGAAAAAUUUAUUAAACUUUUUUUUUUAUAUUUACAUUAAUUUAUGAGUAUUUGAUCCUUUAUUAGAUUAUAAGAUGAAAUUACCUUAGGGAUAACAGCGUAAUUUUUCUAAGAGUCCUUAUCGAAAGAAGAGAUUGCGACCUCGAUGUUGGAUUAAAAUUAAAUUUUUGGUGUAGAAGCUAAUAAAUUAGGUCUGUUCGACCUUUAAAUUUUUACAUGAUCUGAGUUUAAACCGGUGUAA
rnacentral:rRNA from 1 species